rnacentral:rRNA from 1 species
ACGAACGCUGGCGGUAUGCUUAACACAUGCAAGUCGAACGAACCUAUUGACUUCGGUUAAUAAGUUAGUGGCAGACGGGUGAGUAACGCGUGGGAAUGUACCCUUUAGUUCGGAAUAACUACGGGAAACUGUAGCUAAUACCGGAUAAGCCCUUCGGGGGAAAGAUUUAUCGCUAAAGGAACAGCCCGCGUUAGAUUAGGUAGUUGGUGAGGUAAAAGCUCACCAAGCCGACGAUCUAUAGCUGGUUUGAGAGGAUGAUCAGCCACACUGGGACUGAGACACGGCCCAGACUCCUACGGGAGGCAGCAGUGGGGAAUAUUGGACAAUGGGGGCAACCCUGAUCCAGCAAUACCGCGUGAGUGAAGAAGGCCUUCGGGUUGUAAAGCUCUUUUACCGGGGAAGAUAAUGACGGUACCCGGGGAAUAAGCUCCGGCUAACUUCGU